UACGAAGGGGGCAAGCGUUGUUCGGAAUGACUGGGCGUAAAGGGCGCGUAGGCGGUCGGCCGCGUCAGAUGUGAAAGCCCCGGGCUCAACCUGGGAAUGGCAUUUGAGACGGGUCGGCUCGAGGGCGGGAGAGGAUGGUGGAAUUCCCAGUGUAGAGGUGAAAUUCGUAGAUAUUGGGAAGAACACCGAGGGCGAAGGCAGCCAUCUGGACCGUCACUGACGCUGAGGCGCGACAGCGUGGGGAGCAAACAGG
rnacentral:rRNA from 1 species